rnacentral:tRNA from 2 species
GGGGAUGUAGCUCAGUUGGCUAGAGCGCUUGACUGGCAGUCAAGAGGUCGUCGGUUCGAAUCCGAUCUUCUCCAC